rnacentral:rRNA from 1 species
UACGUAGGGUGCGAGCGUUGUCCGGAAUUACUGGGCGUAAAGAGUUCGUAGGCGGUUUGUCGCGUCGUUUGUGAAAACCCGGAGCUCAACUCCGGAACUGCCAUUGAAACUGUUAGACUUGAGGAUGAGAGAGGUGAGUGGAAUUCCCAGUGUAGAGGUGAAAUUCGUAGAUAUUGGAAGAACACCAGUGGCGAAGGCGGCUCACUGGCUCAUUUCUGACGCUCAGGCGCGACAGCGUGGGAUCGAAA